rnacentral:rRNA from 1 species
GAUGAACGCUGGCGGCGUGCCUAAUACAUGCAAGUCGAGCGAACAGACGAGGAGCUUGCUCCUCUGACGUUAGCGGCGGACGGGUGAGUAACACGUGGAUAACCUACCUAUAAGACUGGGAUAACUUCGGGAAACCGGAGCUAAUACCGGAUAAUAUAUUGAACCGCAUGGUUCAAUAGUGAAAGACGGUUUUGCUGUCACUUAUAGAUGGAUCCGCGCCGCAUUAGCUAGUUGGUAAGGUAACGGCUUACCAAGGCGACGAUGCGUAGCCGACCUGAGAGGGUGAACGGCCACACUGGAACUGAGACACGGUCCAGACUCCUAGGGGAGGCAGCAGUAGGGAAUCUUCCGCAAUGGGCGAAAGCCGGACGGAGCAACGCCGCGUGAGUGAUGAAGGUCUUCGGAUCGUAAAACUCUGUUAUUAGGGAAGAACAAAUGUGUAAGUAACUAUGCACGUCUUGACGGUACCUAAUCAGAAAGCCACGGCUAACUACGUG